GAUGAACGCUGGCGGCGUGCCUAAUACAUGCCAGUCGAGCGAACAGACGAGGAGCUUGCUCCUCUGACGUUAGCGGCGGACGGGUGAGUAACACGUGGAUAACCUACCUAUAAGACUGGGAUAACUUCGGGAAACCGGAGCUAAUACCGGAUAAUAUAUUGAACCGCAUGGUUCAAUAGUGAAAGACGGUUUUGCUGUCACUUAUAGAUGGAUCCGCGCCGCAUUAGCUAGUUGGUAAGGUAACAGCUUACCAAGGCAACGAUGCGUAGCCGACCUGAGAGGGUGAUCGGCCACACUGGAACUGAGACACGGUCCAGACUCCUACGGGAGGCAGCAGUAGGGAAUCUUCCGCAAUGGGCGAAAGCCUGACGGAGCAACGCCGCGUGAGUGAUGAAGGUCUUCGGAUCGUAAAACUCUGUUAUUAGGGAAGAACAAAUGUGUAAGUAACUAUGCACGUCUUGACGGUACCUAAUCAGAAAGCCACGGCUAACUACGUG
rnacentral:rRNA from 1 species